GGGUCUUUAGCUCAGCUGGUAGAGCACCUGGUUUACACCCAGGUUGUCGUCGGUUCGAUCCCGGCAGGACCCAC
rnacentral:tRNA from 1 species